UCCGUAUUGCUGCCACAUUGACAUCAUCAUGCAUCAUCAGCAUGCUGCGCAGAGCCUGAAAUGAUAAAUGUUGUUGUCAAAAUAUUAUUGCAACCGACGAAUAAUUUAAA
ensembl:miRNA mir-4938 ncRNA